GGGGAUUUAGCUCAAUGGUAGAGCACUUGCCUAGCAAGCGCAAGGCCCUGGGUUCGGUCCCCAGCUCCA
rfam:Rattus norvegicus chromosome 3, whole genome shotgun sequence.